AUGGCGGAAAUUGAAAAGCUGAAUAUCCAGAAAGCUACAUCAAGUGAUUACUGGAGUUUGGCCAGCAACCUGUAUCCAUCUGGUAAAUUUCCUAAGGUAUCAAUUGGCAUCCCAAUUCCAAGGCCAGGUUCUGUAUCAAGAAGCAGAGAUGCUGCUACUGUCCCUGCAUUCGAGAGGAACCCGUCUCAGGGAACUGAUGGAAGAUCUAGACCCCUGAAAGGUUAUAGUGCUUCAUUCCGGGUCUCACAAGAAGCUGCAGACCAUGGCGGAUCUGCUACAGAGGCACCCGAAGCCGCCCCUGUUAAGGCUUCUCUAUCACAACCUGAUGACCAUGCACGUGAGCAAACCGGAACCUUUUCCUUUGGAACAAGAAAAGAACAAGACAGCCAGCUUGACCAACUGCAAGAGACGCCCUUCGUGAAUUCACAAGGAAAGCGCCAAGUGGAAUCUGCAGAUAAAACCAAACCCAACAGCGAAGUUCUCAGGAUGAAGCUGUGGGAGAUCCUUGGUACAUCACAAACCAAGCAGACUGUUGCUUCACCAAACCCUGAAGACAAUGAGACACCUAACCAACCUAAAAGUUUAACUGCCAAUGGACCAUCUUCAGGGAACAAGAAGGUCUACACAUCACCUUUUCCUGAUAAUAUCAAGACACCUGAUCUGCUGAACUGUCAAACAGCUACCUAUGCAAAGAGUAAACCAUCCUCUGAUCCAAUUGAGUCAGAUUCGGGUACUCCACAAGUAGUUGAAAUAAGGCCUGUUACUCGCACCUUGGGUCGCAAGAAAGCACCAGCAGCCUCCAAGAAGCAGGAUAAGAGCCAGAGUGCAAAGAAACCGUUGUCUACUUCAUGUUCUGCACCCAAAAAGAAAACACUGGACAAUGUAUUUAUUUUUGAUGAGAAAUGCACAUCCAAAACUGCGGGGAAAUCUGCAAUUGGUAACUCUGGCUGCUUGAGAAAUCUUAGAAGCUCAAAUAGGAAGGCUAAAGUAGAGCUUAAGAAGGUCCAUUGUUCUGACAUGAUUUCUGACAAGAUCACACCGGAUGAUAGGGGAGGACAGCUAUCUUCUAGAAAUGCACCAUCAGAGAAUAAAGGAGAGAAAACCACCUCCUUUUCUUCUUUGUCACGAACUGGGAAAACUGCUGAGAGCUGUUCUAGAAGCCCUACAAGGGAGAAACGGAUGAAUGGAAUGGCUAAAGUUGGGCCUCAGAAGAUGCAGUUUUCAGAAAAGUUGCUGCCCACGACACUGAAUGCAGAUGAAGAUAAGCUCUCUUCUCAGAAUAUUUCAUCAAAGAGCAAGGAAAAUUAUUCUUCAUUGCUGCACCGCAAGGAGAAUGCUAAUUUGAGCAAAGCUUCAGACAGAAGCCCCCAGGCACAUAAAGCAGCGGGAAAUAAUUUUAACUCGCCACCAUCUGGUACUGCUAGUGCAUCACCUGAACCGAAAAUGUACCCAUGGGACAAUGAGGCAAAUCCCCAGGUAAAUUGUAAACUCGGAGAGAAGUUUGCCAGUCCAUUGGCAGACAGAUUCAGAGACAUGCGAGAUGACUUUGUGAGUCCUACUUUUGCAACUAAUGUAAAUGGCUACCGCGAUGGAAGUGAAAUGCUACAUGAUGACACAUACAGCCCCAAGUAUCCAAAAAGUAACAGGUCAAGAUCAAGUUCCUAUGCUUCUGAUCCAGGGUCUGAGCCAUUGGACGGGAUGGAUAAAACCGAUGAGUUACGUAACAGUGGAUCUCCUAAUUCUCCAGAAGAAAGCGAGGACAAAAAACAACCAAUUCUUUCACCCAUUCCGCGAACUGAAGAUGAAAUGGCUCAAAUUUCUAUUCCAAGCUUUGGGAAAGGAUAUAAAUCUCGCAAAUGGCUUUCAGAUGUAGACAGCCCUGAUAGAUCUCCUCCAGAAAAUCUGGAUAGGAAAUCACAUCUAAAAGAGGGUAGAAGAGGCAAACGGCGCUUGCCUUCGCCAAUUCCUUUUGCUACUUCUAUUCAUUCAGGAACACAAGAAACUAUAAUGUCAGACAAAGAACCAGUGCAAUGCCCAGAUGACUACCUAACCAGGGCUUUUGAUCAGUUACUGGUGGUGCUGGGAAGGUUUCAAACCAAGAUCAAGUCUGAAACAAGAAACAAAAGUUCUCAGAUACUGGCAGGUACUGGAGAGAUAAUACGCCAGCACCUCGAGGGAGUUGAGGUGCAGAUGCAGGAUGAUGUGGAUAAGCUGGUCAAUGCAGGGAAAUCUAAAAGAAAGCGACUAGAAUCAACAUUUGAAGAGCAACAAGAACUGUUAAGGGUUCUUCAUGAGAAGUUUAAGGAGGAGGUUAAUCAGCAGUUGCUUGGUUGCAAGAACUCUCUUGAGGAAUUUGAAGCCUAUCAUGCAGAGCUGAAGGGAGUAGCUGACAAGCAAAAAGCAUCACACAAGAAGCUCCUCCAACAUGCUGAGAGAACAGUUGCUUCUCAGCUCAACGAUGCUGAAAUCAAAAUCUCGGAGGUUCAGAAGAGAGCCCGGAAGAAGAUGAAUGGCCUAAAACACGUGCUCAAGGAGCUCAUCACCGAAACUGCAGAUUGA
rnacentral:rRNA from 1 species